AUUGAACGCUGGCGGAAUGCUUUACACAUGCAAGUCGAACGGCAGCACGGACUUCGGUCUGGUGGCGAGUGGCGAACGGGUGAGUAAUGUAUCGGAACGUGCCCAGUCGUGGGGGAUAACGUAGUGAAAAUUACGCUAAUACCGCAUACGAUCUAUGGAUGAAAGCGGGGGAUAGCAAGACCUCGCGCGAUUCGAGCGGCCGAUAUCAGAUUAGGUAGUUGGUGGGGUAAAGGCCCACCAAGCCAACGAUCUGUAGCUGGUCUGAGAGGACGACCAGCCACACUGGAACUGAGACACGGUCCAGACUCCUACGGGAGGCAGCAGUGGGGAAUUUUGGACAAUGGGCGAAAGCCUGAUCCAGCCAUUCCGCGUGCAGGAUGAAGGCCCUCGGGUUGUAAACUGCUUUUGUACAGAACGAAAAGGUUUCUACUAAUACUAGGAGCUCAUGACGGUACUGUAAGAAUAAGCACCGGCUAACUACGUGCCAGCAGCCGCCGUAA
rnacentral:rRNA from 1 species